rnacentral:rRNA from 1 species
AUCUAUAGCCAUGCCACUCUGAACAAGCCAGAUCCUGUCUGACCUCAGAAGCUAAGCAAGGUCUGGUCUGGUUAGUACUUGGAUGGGAGACCACCUAGGAAGACCCGGUGCUGUACGUG